CAGUCGCCGCGGGAACACGUAGGUGGCAAGCGUUGUCCGGAAUUAUUGGGCGUAAAGGGCUCGCAGGCGGUUUCUUAAGUCUGAUGUGAAAGCCCCCGGCUCAACCGGGGAGGGUCAUUGGAAACUGGGAAACUUGAGUGCAGAAGAGGAGAGUGGAAUUCCACGUGUAGCGGUAAAAUGCGUAGAGAUGUGGAGGAACACCAGUGGCGAAGGCGACUCUCUGGUCUGUAACUGGCGCUGAGGAGCGAAAGCGUGGGGAGCGAACAGGAUUAGAUACCCCAGUAGUCCCUGUCUCUUAUAC
rnacentral:rRNA from 1 species